rnacentral:tRNA from 1 species
GGAGUUGUGGCUCAGUGGCAGAGCACUUGCCUCACAUGUGUGUGUGAGGCACUGGGUUUCAUUCCCAGCACCUCAU